UGCAGUCGAGCGAACAGACGAGGAGCUUGCUCCUCUGACGUUAGCGGCGGACGGGUGAGUAACACGUGGAUAACCUACCUAUAAGACUGGGAUAACUUCGGGAAACCGGAGCUAAUACCGGAUAAUAUAUUGAACCGCAUGGUUCAAUAGUGAAAGACGGUUUUGCUGUCACUUAUAGAUGGAUCCGCGCCGCAUUAGCUAGUUGGUAAGGUAACGGCUUACCAAGGCAACGAUGCGUAGCCGACCUGAGAGGGUGAUCGGCCACACUGGAACUGAGACACGGUCCAGACUCCUACGGGAGGCAGCAGUAGGGAAUCUUCCGCAAUGGGCGAAAGCCUGACGGAGCAACGCCGCGUGAGUGAUGAAGGUCUUCGGAUCGUAAAACUCUGUUAUUAGGGAAGAACAAAUGUGUAAGUAACUAUGCACGUCUUGACGGUACCUAAUCAGAAAGCCACGGCUAACUACGUGCCAGCAGCCGCGGUAAUACGUAGGUGGCAAGCGUUAUCCGGAAUUAUUGGGCGUAAAGCGCGCGUAGGUGGUUUUUUAAGUCUGAUGUGAAAGCCCACGGCUCAACCGUGGAGGGUCAUUGGAAACUGGAAAACUUGAGUGCAGAAGAGGAAAGUGGAAUUCCAUGUGUAGCGGUGAAAUGCGCAGAGAUAUGGAGGAACACCAGUGGCGAAGGCGACUUUCUGGUCUGUAACUGACGCUGAUGUGCGAAAGCGUGGGGAUCAAACAGGAUUAGAUACCCUGGUAGUCCACGCCGUAAACGAUGAGUGCUAAGUGUUUNAGGGGGUUUCCGCCCCUUAGUGCUGCAGCUAACGCAUUAAGCACUCCGCCUGGGGAGUACGACCGCAAGGUUGAAACUCAAGGAAUUGACGGGGACCCGCACAAGCGG
rnacentral:rRNA from 1 species